rnacentral:lncRNA from 1 species
GAGUUAUGUAAGUGCUCCAAAGGGGGAAUGUAAGUGGAGAGUCUAGACGUGGUGUUAGGGAAGUUAUUUAAGUAAAACUGUGAAGGAUAAUGAGCUAAGAAUUACACAGAGGAAGAAAAAUUCUAGUUAUAUUUAAGAACCUUAAAAAACCCUCAAAACUAUAAUCAUGGUAUGGUAAAGACAGAAUUGAGAGAAGUAUUGCUGGAGAAUAGGAAAUGAAAGGCUAUCCAAAAUCAUAAAUAGUAUUUUGUAAUUAUUUUAAAUUGAAGCUCAGUUUUUAUUUUUUAUUUAUUUACUUUUAAUUUUUUAGUUCAAAAGUUCCCAACCCCAUUUAUACUAUUUUCCUUCACAUUUGGUAAUGGUUAUAUUUAUUUGUCUUUGUACUUUUUUUCAUAUUCUAAGACUGAGUAAAUUUGAUAAUAGACAGCAUAGACUUUUGGGGUUUUCCCUCAGCUUGCCAGCUGACCCCCACUCUUCAUAUUGCUUUACUUUUCUUAAAAUGUCUGUAUUUCUUUAAAAACAUUUUUUUUCUAAUGCUGGCACAUUGAUGACCCCAAAGCCAUCAUUGGUUCAUGGUGCGUCACAGCACAUCACAGUGCCCCUUCCCUCUCACUGGCUAGUGUACAUUCUCUCUUGCCCCUCUCCCACAAGGUUGCUAGGGCCUUGGAGGGGUCACAUCAGUGUCUCAGUCCAGGGCUGAGCACGCAUCGGUCACUCACACAGUCAUGAGUCCCUGUGUUAAUCAUUACCCACUGAAAACAGAAACUGUCUGACCAAGAAUCUAUGUAUGUGUAUGGAUAAAUAUUUAGAAGACUACAUAACAAAACAGUAGUAGUAAGGGACCAUGACCUCCUAGCCAUGGGCUUUUGACCAGAUUUACAAUACCGAGUAUGAUUUCUUCCUGUGGGGCGGGUCUAAAAUCCAGGUAGGAGAUGAUUGCUUACCCCAGUAACACUCUGGCCACGACUGCACUUGUGCUCACAUCUUGUCUAGCAAGGUGAUACUAUUAGCAGAGGUCACAGCUGGGUAAAACAGUUGGUGACUAAUACCUCAUAGUGCCCUGUACAGCACAUUCCAGCAUUAUAAAAGCUACCUGGGGAAGAAGAAGGAAGCUUCCAGCUGAAUAGGCUUUUUAAUCUCUCACUUACUCUCCUUUGGGGUAUUCUCUGGUUUCAGGAAUACAGAAGAGAGCUAAGAAUCGUGUAAACAAGUUUCUAAAUUGUUAGUCAUCGGCUGUGGCUGUGAAUGUAUCAUGUGGGCAGAUAGGUUAGGAGGCUCUCUGAGGUGCUUCAGUGCUUCCUACCUACCUGUGGAUGAGAAAACCUCAGCCUUUCUCCUUGUCCCCACACUCUCUUCAUUAUGAAGGCUAAGUGAAACUGCGUUGUACAUUUGCUUUAUGUUGAGCCAUUCUUACAAGUUGGAAGAAGUUAAAAGCAAUUGGUGAGAGCCCGGCUGUGUAUUUAUUUAUUUGUCUUUGCUGACCUCUAAUUGGGGCAAAUAAAGUAGGAGUAAAUUUUAAAAGGCAGAGAUUAGUAGUAGAAGGCACACUGACAGUAACAUCGACCUUGUGGUUUGGGUUUGGUAGCAGAAAUGAGGGAAGGCUGUAGGUUUUUUGGUCUAGUGGUAGUCACAGCGUAUGCCACAAAUUGCACGUGGAGAUCAGUGGUCAACUUGCAAAAGUCAGUUCUUUCUUUCUACUAUGUGGAUCUUGGGAUCAAAGUCUAGUCGUCAGGCUUGUCGGCAAGCACCUUCACUCACCGAGCCAUUUCGCCAGCCCACCAGGCAAUACCAUGCUGUCUGCCUUCAGUCUCCUAUUCUCUUAAGCAGUAACAGAACAAAAAAAUACCUUUUCUAGGUCAGAAGGCUGAGACUUACAGAUAUUACAGGAUUUACCAAAUAACUUACUUGUAAUGAAUGAGCUAGAUAUAGAAAAAAACUUAUUCCUUCAUCCUUUGAGCUUUGUAUUCUUCGUAUUAAACUAUACUAAACAUUUUGAACAGAUAAAAUUGAGGAUAAACUCCCUUACAUAGCACGCCUCAUUCUCCAGCAUUGCCUCGUGGGUGUGGACCAAAGAAUCAUACAGAACUGUAGUUUUAACUUUAAGGUUUGAAAGUAGUGCACAUGAAUUUAGCUGUCAUCACCAUUUCCUCAUUAGUACUUUA